GACGAACGCUGGCGGCGUGCUUAACACAUGCAAGUCGAGCGGAAAGGCCACUUCGGUGGUACUCGAGCGGCGAACGGGUGAGUAACACGUGAGUAAUCUGCCCUUGGCUUUGGGAUAGCCACCGGAAACGGCGAUUAAUACCGGAUACGACCACUUCUCGCAUGGGAUGGUGGUGGAAAGUUUUUCGGCCAGGGAUGUGCUCGCGUCCUAUCAGCUUGAUGGUGAGGUAAUGGCCCACCAUGGCUUCGACGGGUAGCCGGCCUGAGAGGGUGACCGGUCACACUGGGACUGAGACACGGCCCAGACUCCUACGGGAGGCAGCAGUGGGGAAUAUUGGACAAUGGGCGGAAGCCUGAUCCAGCAACGCCGCGUGAGGGAUGACGGCCUUCGGGUUGUAAACCUCUUUCAGCAGGGACGAAGCGCAAGUGACGGUACCUGCAGAAGAAGCACCGGCCAACUACGUGCCAGCAGCCGCGGUAAAAC
rnacentral:rRNA from 1 species